AUAACCCCGGAAAACUGGGGAUAAUACCCCAUAGAUUAGGGAGGCUGGAAUGCCCCCUAGUUCAAAGGUCCGCCGCCUCAGGAUGGGUCUGCGGCCGAUUAGGUUGUUGUUGGGGUAACGGCCCAACAAGCCUUUGAUCGGUACGGGUUGUGGGAGCAAGAGCCCGGAGAUGGAUUCUGAGACACGAAUCCAGGCCCUACGGGGCGCAGCAGGCGCGAAAACUUUACAAUGCGAGAAAUCGUGAUAAGGGAACCCCGAGUGCCCGUAAAUUCGGGCUGUCCGCCAGUGCAAAAAACUGGUGAAGAAAGAGCCGGGCAAGACCGGUGCCAGCCGCCGCGGUAAUACCGGCGGCUCGAGUGGUGGCCACUAUUACUGGGCUUAAAGCGUCCGUAGCUUGGUUGUUAAGUCUUCUGGGAAAUCCAUCGGCUUAACCGAUGGGAGUUCAGGAGAUACUGGCAACCUAGGGACCGGGAGAGGUGAGAGGUACUCCAGGGGUAGGAGUGAAAUCCUGUAAUCCUUGGGGGACCACCUGUGGCGAAGGCGCCUAACUGGAACGAACCUGACGGUGAGUAACGAAAGCCAGGGGCGCGAACCGGAUUAGAUACCCGGGUAGUCCUGGCCGUUGCGUGUGGACUUGGUGUUGGAAUGGCCUCGAGCUGCUCCAGUGCCGAAGGGAAGCUGUUAAGUCCACCGCCUGGGAAGU
rnacentral:rRNA from 1 species